rnacentral:rRNA from 1 species
GGCAGCCGCCGCGGUAAUACCGGCGGCUCGAGUGGUGGCCACUUUAUUGGGCUUAAAGCGUUCGUAGCUGGGUCGUUAAGUCUCUUGGGAAAUCCGGCAGCUUAACUGUCGGGCGUCUAAGGGAUACUGGCGAUCUUGGAACCGGGAGAGGUGAGGGGUACUUCGGGGGUAGGAGUGAAAUCCUGUAAUCCUCGAGGGACCACCUGUGGCGAAGGCGCCUCACCAGAACGGCUUCGACAGUGAGGGACGAAAGCUGGGGGAGCAAACCGGAUUAGAUACCCGGGUAGUCCCAGCCGUAAACGAUGUGCGUUAGGUGUAUCGACGACCACGAGUCGUCGAGGUGCCGAAGGGAAACCGUGAAACGUACCGCCUGGGAAGUACGGUCGCAAGGCUGAAACUUAAAGGAAUUGGCGGGGGAGCACCACAACAGGUGGAGCCUGCGGUUUUAAAUUGGACUCAACGCCGGGAAGCUCACCGGAUAAGACAGCUGAAUGAUUGCCGGGCUGAAGACUCUGCAUGACUAGCUGAGAGGUGGUGCAUGG